AAGGGCACCACAAGAACGGGUGGAGCAUGUGGCUUAAUUUGACUCAACGCGGGAAAACUUACCGGGUCCGGACACACUGAGGAUUGACAGGCGACCAUUUUGUAAAUAUGCUAGUCCUUUCAUGAUUGUGUGAUAGGUGGUGCAUGGCCGUUCUUAGUUCGUGGAGUGAUCUGUCUGCUUAAUUGCGUUUCAGAUAAAUGGAGUCUUGAGUAUGUUAGUGUGCCUCGGUAAAACGAGGUAUCUCUGGCUGAGCUCUGCUCCUUGAAAGCAACGAACGUGACCGCAGCCCUUUGUUGGUCGUCCACCGCUUCGGCGUUGUGUUUUGACGUCUUAACUAAGGGGACCGCCAGGCUUUUUAAAACCGGAGGAAGGUUGCGGCAAUAACAGGUCUGUGAUGCCCUUAGAUGUUCCGGGCUGCACACGUGCUACAAUGAUUGUUACAGAAAGUAUCUACUACUGAUUGUUCUCGAAGGCUUUGGUCGGAAAGGACCACGGAUAGCAUUAAGUCGGAUACCCUUUUCUAGGACUGUCUGGCUUUUUAUAGCUACUGUGAAACCUACCUCGAAAGUUCGGUAGGCAAUCAAUUCCAAGUGACAAUCUCCCCUGCACAAAUCAAAUGUUACUUUGCGUGGUAUUUAUACCUCACUCAGUUGACAUGUGCUCUAUAAAUUCGUGGUCGGGACAGACCAUUGCUAAUUGUUGGUCUCGGUCUCAACUAGGAAUGCCUUGUACGGGUCUUUGGUUCAACAAACCACCCGGAAUACGUCCCUGCCCUUUGUACACACCGCCCGUCGCUCUUACCGAUGGACUUCUCUGUGAGUUUGAGGGACUGGCGUCCACGCCUCGUGUGUGCGAUGCUAUGGAAACUCAAACGAACAGUGUGGUCUAAAGGAAAGAGAAGUCGUAACAAGGCAUCGGUAGGUGAACCUGCAGAAGGAUCA
rnacentral:rRNA from 1 species